GGGAGACCAGACUUCAGACUGAAUCCGCUCAUGAACUGGUUAACCUGCACUGCCCAGCAACGUGUGCUUCCAUGGGGCAGAAGUCAGGAGCUGGCGCUCUGGGAAGAGCUGCCCUGGUCGAAAGAGGAAGCUGGUGUGGUCUCAAAAGAAAAAAAAAAAAAAAAGAAAGAAAGAAAAACAGGAAAUACUGUAAGCAGUUCAUGUCUACAGCACAGCCUGCUCUGCAAAGUGCCUGAGUAACUGUGGUCACUCCAUCCCCGAAUGCUGUUCUCUUUCUUCCAAACUUUAUGCCAAUAACCUCGCCCCAGGCCAGACCCAUUACUAUAAUACUUCUAUUAAAGUCUGCACUAAAGCUUCACGCAGUGAAGGAUAUAUAUUUUUCAAAGAGGGCAUCUUCUCGGCCCCCCUCCACGGGUUUUGAAGAGC
ensembl:lncRNA